GGGCAGAGAGGGGCGAGGGGGGCGGGGACCCGGUUGUGCAGAGCGCCUGCGUGGGGGUUGCGUGCGUGCCGUGGCGUGCGUGGGGGUUGCGUGCGUGCCGGGGAAGGGAGCCCCGGGAGCGACUGCUGAGGGACACCGCGGCGAGCGAGCAUGGGUGGAGGAGCUGAGGGUGUGAGCAGGGCUGCAGCGGGCAGGUCCAAGGCAGGGAGAGUCUCCAUAACAGCUCUGCACGAUGGGAGGACCCCAAGACAGCAGCCCAAGGAGGACAGGCAUUCUCGUGAGACAGCCGGAAUCCAGGUCUUCAGCUCCUCUGUGGUGCCGCAGGGGCUCCUGGGAGUCCGCCAUCUUGUGGACAGUGAACGGCCAGCCGUCUGCUCUCUACUGGAUCUGAAGACAUCCCUGGGAGCAGAGCGGAUGUUGGUAGCAGAUUCCAGUAUGGGAAGCUCAGAGAAGGUAAGCAGGGUGUCGGGGAGCCCCUGCCUGGGGUCCUCUGCAGCCGCCGUGUCGCUGGGGACUCGGUGUCCGUCCCUUGGUGUGGUGCUUGGAGCCGAGGGUGGUGGUGGACACCUGUGGUGGGGAGGACGGUCAUGCCCAGGUGGGGCCAGGGGCCAAGUGGCUGCUGGGGUCACACUCACACAACUCACAGUCACUUCUAAUUUUUCAGUUUCCAGAUGGCAGAUUAUGGGAUUUUUUUCCGCCUUCAAAAUUGUGAGUUGA
rnacentral:lncRNA from 9 species